UCGUGGUUACCAGGAAGUCCCAAGGACCCUCUAGAAGCAUGCCCGCAGUCAUCUGUCUCUCACUAGGUCCCACCUCCUAAGAACCCAUUCGGUGACUUCUUCAACAGAAUAACUUAUUAAAGUGAGUGUCCUCGGGACCCAACUACUUCUCAACAACACCACCAGCUGGGGACCAAGAUUUCAAAGCAUGGAUCUUCUUUGGAGACUGGGAGGGACUCUCUCCAAACCACAACAGUGGUAUCUACAGUGAGCUCUGCUCUUUAUAACGCAUUUCUUUCACUAAUAUAGAUAUUAAACAGUCGCUGAUGUGAAAGAGAAGCACGAGGUAAAAGAAAGCAACAACUAGCUGGGCGUGGUGGCGCAUGCCUUUAAUCCCUGCACUCAGGAGGCAGAGAGAGGCAGGGGGAUCUCUGAGUUUAAGGCCAGCCUGAUCUACACAUCAAGUUUCCCUGGACAGCCAGCAGUUUUAUCAGAGAAAGCCUGUUUUGCAAAUACAAAGAACAAAAACAAAACAAAAAUGCCUCCUAUGCAGUGACUGUUUAAAUUUAAUGUAGGAACCAAUAUUUCGCCUCUCCUGUGAUUGGAAGGCAUCCAGGUAGGAGUCAAAGGGAAGAGUUGCAAGGCCGAGGCAAAGGCCCAAAGAAAGGCGUGUUUGAAAAACUAACCGGAAGCCGUCUUGGCUCAUUGCCAGAAGAGGCUUUGCGGCUGCUUAGGGCGGGGCAGCUGAACUGAUCAUCAAGAUUGUGGGCCUUACCUGACCUACCUCGGUGAAAGUCCCCUUGGGUUUUAGAACUGGGGAGAAAGGACUAAAGGUGAUUAAUUAUGAAGCAGAUUCCAGAGCAGGGAAAAAUGAGACGAGGGUGCUGAUGGAUCACAAAGACGAUUUAAAAAGGAGUUUAAGGGAUUUAGUUUUCACACUACAAAUCAACCUUUGAUUCCUCUUGUACUGCAUUUUGUACCAGGUGUGGAGAGAUGGGCCAUUAUUGUCUGUGUUGUGGAGGAAGAGAACUUUCUUCUCUGGGCCUUCUUUUAGUUUGUAGCUGAGGAGCCUAUAACAACAUAUAGAUUUGCAUGUAAAUCCAACAGACGGCUUUCGCAGGAUGAGAGCCUUCAUAAGGAGAUGGAAGACCCAAAAGCACAGGACUGGUGGUGUCUGUGUAGUUUGAUGAGGAGGAAGAGGGCAGGCAUGGGGCACAUGAUUGGAGAGAGGGUGAUCUCUUGGUAAACGGGAAGCACUUGGCAAUGUUUCUCCCUGCCUCUGGUCCUUCAGUGCCAAGCAGAUUCAUCUCCUCCGGCCGAAGGAAGUGUACUUCUCAAAGGAAGGCCUUGCUUCGGGGGAGAAGAUCAAGGAGCAGGCGAGCAUGACUGCUCCCCCUGGCUGUUUUCUCACAUGCCAAGAUGCCAUAUUUGGGUCAUCUUAAGUUGAUUCCUCCUUGGGAAGGCUUUUGUUCAUAGACAGUCACAUUUCUAACCUGAUGCUCUAACACAGUGGUUCUCAGCAUUCCUAACACCGCGACCCGUUAAUACGGUUCCUUGUAGCGUGGUGACCUCCAACCAUAAAGUGAUUUUCACUACUACGUCAUAGCUGCAAUUUUGCUACUGUUACGGAUCAUAAUGUAGAUAGCUGAUAUGUAGGAUAUCCAAUGUAUGACCCCCAUGAAAGAGAAGUGUGACCCCCUGAAGGAGCCACUACCCACAGGUUGACAACCACUGUCGUCUCAGAGGUAAAGGGAGGAGUUGCCUUUGGAUUUGUGGCUUGGCUCAUUUUGUCUUCCCGUCCUUCUUAGGGGCAGAGGAAGGAUGACACGGUGGAGAGGUGGGGUUCUGUGACAAAAUGGAGUUGAGUGGGGUUGGAGCAGGGAGGAGAGAAACCAGAAAUGCAUCCACAGUCUUCUCCUUUGCAGAGAGAUCUUAGAGUUCCUACUGGUUUUGUAAAAAUUCUUUAUUUUCAUUGCUGUGAUCUCCUGAGAAAUUAUAAGAAAAGUUGCUUUGUGUGAACU
rnacentral:lncRNA from 1 species